rnacentral:rRNA from 1 species
GUGCCAGCAGCCGCGGUAAAACGUAGGAGGCAAGCGUUAUCCGGAUUCACUGGGCGUAAAGCGCGUGCAGGCGGUUCGGCAAGUUGGGCGUGAAAUCUCCUGGCUCAACUGGGAGAGGUCGUCCAAUACUGCCGGGCUAGAGAACGGUAGAGGAAGGCGGAAUUCCCGGUGUAGUGGUGAAAUGCGUAGAUAUCGGGAGGAACACCAGUGGCGAAGGCGGCCUUCUGGACCGUUUCUGACGCUUAGACGCGAAAGCUAGGGGAGCAAACGGGAUUAGAGACCCCGGUAGUCCUAGCCGUAAACUAUGCGAACUGGGCGUCGGUGGGUUAAUAUCCAUCGGUGCCGUAGCCAACGCGUUAAGUUCGCCGCCUGGGGACUACGACCGCAAGGUUAAAACUCAAAGGAAUUGACGGGG